rnacentral:lncRNA from 1 species
UCAUUGUUAUGCUUUGUGUACAAAUGUAACUCAUCACUCGCUCCAUAGUUCGUGAUUGAGUUAAAUCAUUGUAAAAUUGAAUAUGAGUUACCAUAAAUAAUCAAAUUAAAUUACCACAAACAAUGCUAGUGGUGUUUAAUGGAAAUUAUGUCCAAUCAUCAUUGAAUGCAAAUUUUGAGGUGGAAAAUAAAACAUCUAGACUUAUAAAUAAUUCUUCCCACAAUUAGAUUUUUACACCUAAGAGUGGCUAAGCGUAGCUUUUCUAAUCGGGUAAACAUUAUUAUGAAUCAUAAAAAUAAAAUUUGCAUCCACAACAAUUCUACACAAUUCCAUUUUUGCUUAUUUUGUUUCUCAUUUAUUUCCAAACAAAUGAUGAUGGGUUGUAUGGACCCGGUUGAUUGUUAGCCACUAUAAAAAUGCAUGUUGCACAUAGUACAUUUCUACCAACAAAAAAAAUUCUUCAUAUAAAAGAUUAAGAUGGGUUCCUCCAUUGGAAGAGCAAUGAUGUUGAUGUUGCUUGUGUUGCUCUUCACAACUGUUUGUGACGCAAGCUGGGAAAAACAUGUAAGAGUUACAAAUCAAAUACCAGGCGUCACCCUCAACGUUCAUUGCAAAUCCGCUGAUGAUGAUCUCGGUCUCCAAGAGCUUGCCCCUAAUGCUUUCUUUGAGUUCAGUUUUCGAUCCAGUUUUAUAGGGGACACUGAUUUCUACUGUAGUUUCCAGUGGCCUGGUGCAUCACUAGAGUGGUUUGAUAUAUAUAUCAGCAGUAGAGACCUCACAGUUUGCGACAAGUGUUGGUGGUCUGUAAGACCUACUCAAGAUGGUCCUCAUCCAUGCAUGUUGAAUUGGGGAAGCGGCCAAUAUGAAAUUUGUAAACCAUGGAACAAGUGAGCUAUGAGCUUCCAUUACUUUGUGUUAUGUUUAAGUAAAAUAAGAGCCGUUUUGUUAGAGAAUAGAGAUGUAGAAUAAAAUGGUUUUUUUUAAUGUCAAAAUUAAAGAGUUAAUCACAUUUGCAGCAAUUGGUUGGUAGCUACACAUUAGUUUCAUCUCUGACAAAAAAUAAUCUAAGAUACCAUAUGAGCAUUAACCAAUAGUGUUUAUCUAGUCAGUAACUGACCAAGGAAAUCAUACUAACUCAUCCUUAAUAUAAAUUCAAAGGUGGAAAGUAAGACAUCUCAAUUUAAAAAUAGUUAUGUCUACAAUUAGAUUUACAUUUAAGGGUAAUCACACAUAGCCUUUUUGGUGAACAUUGUUGAGAAUCACAAGAGAAUCUUCACCCAUAACCACAAUAUAUAAUUCCAUUUUUUCGCUUUAUUGUUUUCCAUUUCUUCCCAAAAUUGAUGAUAGGUUUUAUGAACCUAGUCAAUUGUCAUAUGAUCUAAUCCAUUUAGCCACUAUAAAAAAGUAUGUUGCACAUAGUACAUUUCUACCAAGAUAACACUUCAAAACAAAUUAGCAUGGGUUUUUUCAUUGGAAGAGUAGUGAUGAUGGUGUUGCUUAUGUUGUUCUUUAGAAUUGCUUGUGAUGCACACUAGACAAAACAUGUAAGAGUCAUGAAUCAAUUAGAAGGCAUGACACUCAACGUUCACUGCCAAUCCGCUGACAAUGAUCUCGGUCUCCAAAAACUUGCCCCUAAUGCUUUCUUCCAGUUCAACUGUAAAUCUAGUUUUAUAAGAGACAUUAAAUUCUACUGCACUUUCUAAUGGCCUGGUGCAGAAGAAUGAUUUGAUGUAUAUAUGGGCCGUAGAGACCUCAAAGCUUGCAACCAAUGUUGGUGGUUUGUAAGAAUUAAGAACUACUUAAUAUGGUCCUUAUCCAUAUAGGAUGGACUUGGGCAGCAACAAAAAUAUGAAAUUUGUAAACCAUGGAAACAAAAGUCAACCAUGAGCUUGCACUAAUUUGUGUUCUGUUUAGAAGUGUUGUUUUUGUUGGAGAUAUAGAAUAAAAUGGUUUGUUUGAGGCCUCGUUUUUUUGGCGGAAAAUAUGCAACAUGAUAGGAAAGUUGUUCAUUUCCUGCGUUUGGAAAAGCCAAAGGAAAUGAAAGACUUUCCUGAUUGAAAGGAAAAUAUGGGGGAAAGUGGCUCAUUCCAAAAUCCAAUGGAACCACUUUCAUUCAUUCUUUCUCUGUAUUUAUUACUCACAUCAUAAUAUUUUAUUAUAUUUUUUAAGAACUUUCCCAAUGACUUUUUUUGCGUUACCAAACAUCAGAAUACAAACUUCUCUUGAAAUUUUAUUCCUGUUCACUUUCUCUUCCCAUGGGAGAGAGGAAUUAAUUACUUUCCUUUCUGCAAACCAAACGAGGCCUGAGUGUCAAUUAAAGAAUUUUUCACAUUUGCAGCAAUAAGAACUUAAGAAGCAAAGCCUUUGUUUCAUUCCUCCAAUCCUUGUCUUGUUAAUUAUUUGUAGGACGCAGUGUAGAGGUAAAUGUUUUUUUUUUUGGUGGUAAGAGAUAAAUGUUCUUCAGAAAACUGUUUUAACAAGAUAAAUGCGUUCACGUCAUCAUACGCACAGCAGUAAUGCAUUGAUAUUAAUGUUUCAAAGAGAUACGAAACGACCAUUUGAAGGUGAAGAAUUUGGUCAGAUCUCUCAUACUAUUAAUUUUCCCCUGAAAAGAGUAACAUUAAGAUUCCAAGGCUCCACUCAUCUAGAACAAAUAUUUUUUAAACCACACGCUGAUAUUAAGGAAGCUCUCAAAGUCGAACUGAGGCCUGCAAACAAGAAUUUGAAAGAGAUUAAAUCCGAUCGUGAAUUGUAUAUGCUUCGCUGCAUUAUUAACUAAUGAGUAGAAUGCACAACACACAUUUGGAUCAUGUGUUUACCUGUCAGUUGGAUGGAUGUUAUUAGGGAACACAAUAACUUUCACAACAACUCCUUUGUCCUUCAAUGCUCGAGCCUACUGCAAAUAUAAGCAUCCAACUCUCAUCUCAUCUCAUUAAACUACAGUUUAGUAGUCAUAUAUGCAUCAAAGUUUCCAACCCCACAAGAUAACAAAUGAGGUUACUUAUUUUUUAUUAGUAAAAGGAUGAAAGAGAUUUAUAGAUGCCAACUGUUUUUGAAUUUUUGCUUCAGUCACUUUAUUAUCGAAGCACUUGCUAUUGUUGUCAAAUCAUUAAAUAAGAUUAUAAUGUUAAAUGUCUAGUUGAGUAGAAGGGGAACAUAGCUUACUUGUAAUCCAGUGGAAAUCAGAACGCGAAGAUCCUGAGCGCCCAAAAGAAAAAGGGUGGGUGUUUUGACAUGCAGCAACGUGCAUUCAAUUCGGCAGUAGCAACGACGUACAUUCAAGUCGGCAAUAACAACGACGUGCAUCCAAGUUGGCAGUAGCAAUAAAAUGUGUAAAGAAUGGUAGUUUGGUAAAAUAUGUAGUGACAUGUGAUAUGUGGACAUUACUUUGUCAUUAUUUGUUAAUUUUUGUUCUUAAAUGUGUAAAAUAUUGUGUAAAUGAUGUAUCUGUAAACUGAAAUUUGGUUAGUAAUUAAUAUGUAGUUUACUAUAAUAAAAUUAAAGUUACCACAUGGACAAUUUCUAACUAGUGGUGUUUAAUGGAAAUUAUGUUCAUGCAAAAUUAGAGGUGGAAAAUAAAACAUAUAUGAUGAAGAGUAUGUGAAUACGAGAAUAAAGGUCUACUCAUUUCAUUGAUAUCAUGACCUUUAUAUAGGCAUUACAUAGAGAAUCCAUGUAAAUUAGGGUUUGAUAUCUAACAAUAUUCUAGUCUAAUAAGGAGAAGAUUCGGUCAAACCACAUCAUCAAUGAUAGGAAUGUAAAUUCCUUCAACAAUAUAGACUUAUAAAUAAUUCUUCCCAUAAUUAGAUUUUUACAUCUAAGAGUGGCUAAGCGUAGCUUUUCUAACCAGGUGAAUAUUAUUUUCUGACCAGGUGAACAUUAUUGUGAACCAUAAAAAAAAAUCUGCAUUCACAACAAUUCUACACAAUUCCAUUUUUGCUUAUUUGUUUUUUCAUUUAUUUCUAAACAAAUGAUGAUGGGUUGUAUGGACCUGGUUGAUUGUUAGCCACUAUAAAAAAAGCAUGUUGCACAUAAUACAUUUUUACCAACAUAAAAAUUCUUCAUAUAAAAGAUUAAGAUGUGUUCCUCUAUUGGAAGAGCAAUGAUGCUGAAGUUGCUUGUGUUGCUCUUGACAACUGCUUGUUGUGAAGCAAGCUGGACAAAACAUGUAAGAGUUACAAAUCAAAUACCAGGCGUUACCCUCAAUGUUCAUUGCAAAUCCGCUGAUGAUGAUCUCGGCCUCCAAGAGCUUGCCCCUAAUGCUUUCUUUGAGUUCAGUUUUCGAUCUAGUUUUAUAGGGGACACUGAUUUCUACUGUAGUUUCCUGUGGCCUGGUGCACCACUAGAGUCGUUUGAUAUAUAUAUCGGCAAUAGAGAUCUCAAAGUUUGCGACAAGUGUUGGUGGUCUGUAAGACCUACUCAGGAUGGUCCUCAUCCAUCCAUGUUGAAUUGGGGAAGCGGCCAAUAUGAAAUUUGUAAACCAUGGAACAAGUGAGCUUCCAUUACUUUGUGUUAUGUUUAAGUAAAAUAAGAGCCGUUUUGUUAGAGAAUAGAGAUGUAGAAUAAAAUGGUUUUUUUUAGUGUCAAAAUUAAAGAAUUAAUCACAUUUACAACAAUUGGUUGGUAGCUACACAUUAGUUUCAUCUUUGACAAAAAAUAAUUGAAGAUACCAUAUGAGAACCAAUGGUGUUUAUCUAGUCAGUAAUUGACUAAGGAAAUCAUGUU